rnacentral:tRNA from 3 species
GGGCUCAUAGUAAAAUGGCAUUACGCGGCAUUCGCAUUGCCGAAUUCCGGGUUCGACUCCCGGUGAGUCCA